GUUUUGCUGAUGAGAAGGCUGAGCUUCUGGGAGGACAAGAGGCACUUGUCCCACUGCUAGUGAGGACAAACCUAGACACUCUAAGGAAGUAUGGAAUUUAAAGACUAUCAGGAAACAACAACUGGGAAAUAAGAUGAGCCACUGCAGGUGAGGAAAUUGGUGUGUUCAAACUUUGUCUCCUGGAAUCGGUUUGGUAGAGUGUUGAGCAACAAUCGUAUUUUGCUUAAGGAAGCUCACUGCAUACAGUUGUUCCCAAGGCAUAACAGCAGAUGUUAUUUGAUGAACACACUGGAGACAAGACAUGAGUCUUUGAGUAAGGCGUCGGAGAGGGGCAGCCCUAGUAGUUCCUGACCUGUACAUUUCCACGUCGGUGUCACAUGAUCACAACAUCUAUGGGACCCCAGAAGUACUGAGAUAGAGUUGCUUUGUCCUGAAAAAUUUCUCAGACGAAUCGUAAACCGUCAAAGGUUUUAGCUACCUGGGAGAGAAAACCAGUUGGAAUCACAGUAGAAACUGUGAAUUUUAAAGUAUCAGUAAAGAAUGGAACUUCUGACUCCCAGAAGUGGAAUUUAGACAGCUGAAGAUGAAGUAAUUCUUUAGUUAUGGGUCUAGCAGCCUCCAGUCAGAAUGUCACUUUUCUCAGGGGAGACUCCAAGGCAGGAGCUCCCUGAAAACAGUGCUGCAUCUCACCCGUGUCCGCAGGGACAGCGUGCAGAGGACAGACGUGUGAUCCCAGCUGCCUUACGAAUCCUGGAUACAUCCCGUUUACCCGCUCUGAGCAGUAAAGUGCCUGGAAGCUGGAGGGAGGAGAUGAACUCUCGAGCCUGAGUUUGAAGCCAGCCUCUGCCACCCACCCCUGUCGGAAGUCAAGCCACUCCAUAACCUCGCUGACCUUUCGCUUUCUCGUCUCUAAGGCCGACUAUGUACCAGGCAGCGUGCGAGAGCACCCCAAGCCAGGAAACAAGAGCGCUCUUAUAAGGGGCAGAGUACCACAUGAUAGCCUCAAAGUACCCAGAGCUCUCAUCACCAUUCAAUCCUCUGAAAAUGAAGCUUGUGCAUCUCACUUCCUAGAGUUGCCGCCUCCUUCAAUACAAAGAGCCGGGACGUGCUUUCUACUAGGCACGUUGCCACUGUAGGUGGGUCAGCAGCCAGCAUUGCUUCAGACCAGCAGUCUUGAGGACAGUGCGUGAAUCUGAUGCUGUGUCCUGGAAGUGACUCCCUUAAAUGAUAUCUCGCCUAUUUUAAAAUGUCCUUCAUCGUGGUAUCAACUAUGGGGUUUAAGGGAGGGUCCACUUUUGGCUCAGCUUUGCCAAUGUGAUUCAGCUUCCAUUAGUUAUUUCUGCAAAUGGGAAGGAGAAAGGAAAUUUCUGGGUCCUCUGUGAGUUAGUGCAGCGGACCUGCAAGGUGCUUGGAUUUCGGUGACCAGAAAAUUGCUCUCACCUCCAUGUCAUUAUGCUCCCAGUGAACUAGCCCCCAAGCGUGUUUGUGUUGGGGAUCUAAUAUAUUGCCUUUCAAUCAGAGCUGAGAGCCACUGAACACACAGACAGAACAUGACGAGCAGGUCAGGAAAGCAAUAAAGAUUUUACAGAGCUGUCCAAGGUGCUAAAUUUACUCAAUAAUGGUUUUGGCACCAUAGUGUUAACCUCUCAUUUACUACCAGUUUGAGGGACUAAAUUGAAGUAGCUGACUUCAUUUACCUUGAAAUGUAUAUUUUAUGACAUUAUGUAAGUAGAUUGAAAGGGCACUGCAGUUUUAACAAUUUAAAGGCUAAAGCAUGUUUAAGAUGAAACUUGAAUAUUUAUUGUAUAUUGCACUUAAAGUAUAUAGAAUGUUAAAAUGUAUUGAUUAAAUUUGUAAAAGGCAUUAUAAAAAUGACAGGUAGUAUAAAAGAUGUAUGCCUCUUAAAAUCAAACUGAUAGUAUAUGCUAUCUCUUCGGUGGUCACAAGUGUAAUUUUUUUGCAGUUUUAUAUGGUAAUUUGAAAAUUCUGUAAUUUCACAUUAGGAAAUGAUUGAGCCUGGGAUGUUAAAGAGAGAAAUUUCCCAUAAGGGGACAAGCUGCAUGUUUCAUAUAAUCUUUUGUCUCUGAAAUUGUUCCUAAAGUCUUAUUUUUUGCGACAUUAGGAGGGAGCAUCGUGUAAGGAUCCUUCCAUUCUAAUAUGCAAUUUUAAUAUUUCUGAAAAGAGAGAGCACUUGACAAGUACUAAUAUCUAAUUUUUCAAAGCAUUUAUUUGUCAGGAGAGAUUGUCUCUUCUUUUCAUAAUGUUUAAAACGUCUCGCUGCUUGCGGUCUAAAACAUGAGGGUAGAGAUUAGACUCUUCCAAGAUAAUUAAUCCUAUCCUUGGAUUAAAAAAAAUACAUAUCCCAUUGGGGAAUUAAGAAGACAAAUACCACUACCCUAAAUAGUGAAAAGCCUCAGAGUCUCCUUAUAGAGCUAAUGCUUGUUCUCCAACCUACAUCCUGAGUCAGACUAUUUUUCUUUUCAUGGCUUUGGAUUUCUUCUCUCUUAAAGAAAGAGAAAAUGUAUAGUCCUUAAAAACUGCAACAACUCUUUGCUGACCUAUUUCCUUUCUCAAUUAAAACCUGUCUUUACCUGCCUUGCUAUGACCAUCGACUGAUGAUUAUGUGAAUGGAGAUCUGGAGAGAAAAAAAAAAAAUGGAUGAACCAUACUAAAUCUGCUUAGAGUUAGUAGGAACACUAGGAAGAUUCAAGGAUGAGUGGGGUUCGAGAAACAGUUCAAGUAUAAUUGGUACAAGUUUUACCAUGUUUUGGAACCUUUAUAAUGAAAGUGCUGAAUGGGCUACAAAUGCAGAGAGAUGAUUUGGCUUUACUUCGUAUGUUGCAACCCAAUCAAUUAGCAAAUAAGUUUUGAACUUUCUCUUGUCCCAGCAGUCACACACUGAUAUUACUCUCCAGCACCUUUCAAGGCACCCUGUCUUCCCAGAAUUAAGGUACGGCGUUCUGUGGGAAUUGCAAAAGAUUUCCGCCACCAUCCGGUCCUAUCCUCUUUAUCCAAUCUCCUCUCCCUAAACAUCUGAAGAACUGCCCUCUAUUCUGGGCUAGUUAGUCCUCUCCAGCCUGGAAGUAACAUGUUGGGCUCCUCCCUAUCUCCAUACCUUUACUCAUUUUGCCUUUAUUUGGGAAGCUGGCUUCAGUCUGUGCCCAUUUACAAUAUCUUCCCAUCCUCUAGGGCCUGAUAAUGAAGGUGGUGCUGGUGGUGGUGGUAGAGUAGUGGAAAACAUAACUGUUGUUUAUGGAAAGGAAAACAUUAACUCAUUCAGUCUUUGUGGUGAGACUCCGUAUCGCCAUUUGGCAGACAAGGAAACUGAGACUCAGAGAGGUCCGCCAACUUGCCCUGACGUCACACGACUAAUGAAUGGCUGAGCAGGGAUUCAAUCUCAGGCCUGUUAGACAUCAGAGCCUGAGCUCUUCAUAAUUACACUAUCGUAUCAGAACUAAUUCCACCUUCACUGAGACCCCAGCUCCUAACCUCUCUCAUUCCUCUGAAAAAUAGUGCUGAAUGCACUGCCCAGCACUGCACAGAAGUGGACACUGGGGGGUCAUUUUGCUCUGGUCUUAAAUGUGUGAGCCUACAAUCUCCACAACCAGACUACAGGCUCUUUGAGGUCCUAAUCUCCUUCUCUAAGCCCCUAGCACUAUGUUCAGCAAACUACAGCCCUUGAGAAAUUCUUGUUGAAGAGCUCAUUCUAAGAUCAUUACUGAUUUUUAAAAGCACGUGCUUAAUUUACAUGAGGAAAUGACCAAGUCAUGUAUUUGGCAUAGUUUAUAAAAGCAGAAGACUUAAAUUUGGUGCUGCAUUUGGCUCUAGACCUUUAAAUCCAAUAUAUAAAUUCCCAAAGGUCAAGUCUUGAUCACUGGGGGGUUUUUUAAUACCACUUUUUUUUUUUAAGUGAAUUUGCUCCUUCACUCCUGCUGGCUUGUACUUAACAUUUUAAUUUUGUGAUUAAUCUAAUGAAUCAUGUCGGGUACAGACAUUAUCUCAAGUUAUAGGCUGCUAACAACAUGAGGUUUGUCUUGAUGUACGUCAGCCUUUUAUUAACUAUACUCCUAGGCUCUUAGAAAUACUUAGGUAUUUGCACACUCUUAGGAACCAGGCGUAUCACGUCUGAUAUGCAGACAUGGCUAAUUCACCUUUCCUUCCAUUUCAUGACAAUAAACCCGCUGAGGAUUAAUCACCUUCCAUGUGAAUCUUCUCUGCAGCAUCUGAUCUCAAAUGUGUUGCUAAUAAUCUCAUCUUCACUGGGCCCACCUAGCCUUCCAGAGAGAACGGGAAGGCGGGAAGGCUGUCUAACCACCCAAUACUGAGCCCAUUUAUAAACCCAGUUCCAUGUUUUGAGUCAUUCAAACCCAGAUGAGCAGGGGAGAUGGCCUGAACUCUCUUUCAUUCAGAGCACAUGUAGACCAACUCAUAAAGCCAGAUGGGUACCCGUUUACCAACACAACAUUAUAAUUUCAAAUCUCAGGAUCAGAUUUUGAGACUCUGGGAACUCCCUCAUAAAAUUCAAGCCCAGGGAUGCUUCUGUAAUUUGGGAAGACAACCUGUGCUUGGCUUUAUGCUCCCUCAGUUAGAAAAUAAUGUUUUGAGGGACGAAGAAGAAAACAGAAGCUAAACGUAAACAUCAGUUAUCAAAGUCAAGUUGACCUGGGUGAUUCCCGAGAAAGAAGUACAAUACUUUCCUGUCACUGCACAUUGCCCUGUCGCCCAUUUAUCGCCACUCUACUUUGCCCUAUCAGGAGAUUCAAGAUACAGUGGGUUCAAAUAUCAGCAAUACAAAAUGAAGAGGACCGGCAAAGUCACUCCUGAUUUAAAGUCGAUAAGCACCUAUCGGCACUGAAAUCAGCACUGAAUCCGUUCACCUCCUCACGUUGGAGUUUACUACUGGGUCCAAAUUUUAAACAGUAUAUUCAGCUUACUAGCCUUUAACUUCUAGCUCUUUCCCCACUUGCUUCUGAAACUACUGAUUGGAAAGUCUAAAAGCUGAAAAAGUGAUUGGAAGUUUCUGGCAGCCCAUUUCCUGCAGAGCUGGAUGUUCAAUGCAAUAAAUACUAGUUGACUGAGAGGUAUUUCUGUGGAGGGUAGUAUUAUGUCCCAACUUCCUUUGUGUUUAUUCAGCCAAAUGGAAAAUUCCACAGUGGUAGACUUUGCAUCCUAAAAAAUCAUAGAAUGAGGGCAGUGAGGGAAGGGGUAAAACAAACCAAAAUAAUACUUGAGCACUGUUUAGCUUCCGAUCCUCUGAGACAUUCCUUAAAUUUUUCAUUUUUUCUGGUAAUAUGAACUUCUCGAAGAGCUUACCGCAGAUCAUUAGAAACCUUUAUUGUCACACUUUAAACACGCUUUACUCAGAAGCCCUAUGACCGAGAGGAGUCACUCUCAUCUAGCAUGGAUAUAAUUAAACAUGUUUCCGCUGAAAGGGGCAUUCUCAUUAUGGCUAAGGACCACUUUAGAGUAAAUUGAAAUGGAAAGGAGGAGCAUAGAUGAGGUGUAGGUAGCAAGUGGUUAGUUCUAGGGAGGCAUAAAAUGCCAAAUGUGUAACAAUUAUAUUUUACAACCCUGCAUUCUGAAGACUUCAUAGCAUUUUAUUAUAGAAGAAGCUUCAGCUGAAGCUUACCGAACGAACAUUCUAGUGCACACUCAUUGCCCAUAGUCUUUAAAGAAACAUAAAAUUCAAACCAUAAUCAAAAUCUGCAGAAAUAUUCAAAACAAAGGAAUCAAAUAUUUUACAAGGGUCUACUGCUAUUCACACAAGAGGCAUCGAAAGUGUUCUAGUCUAAAGAAAAUGCAGGGGCUUGAAGGGGGGGGGGGCUUCUGAACCUCCUCUAAUUUUAAAGCUGAUUUUGUGUUCAGAUUAGAUGACACCCCUCUUACUUCUCAAACAUAUGAUUAGGUAUCAUCGUGCCGCGUGGCUGGAGACGCGCCCAAAAGCUUUGCCUUUGUUAGAAACGUGGAAGACUUCUGAAUCACGUGAAAUUAAGGUAGGUUGUAAGCUAACGCAGCUACAUCAACGUAAGACAUACUAACUUACAUGACUGACUUUUACAGUGGAAAGGAAAAGGCUGUUUUCAGGCAGCUGUUAUUGCCUCAAUGGGAGAAAGAAAAAAAAAAACUCAAUGAAAGUGAAAUGAACAAGAGAUUUUGUCUGAGUUGCAGUUAAUACCACUGAAGAGCUAUGGAAAUUAAAAGGUCAACAAAUAAAUUAGCCAGAGUGUUAUGAAAUGAAUGAUUUGGCCUAUAAUUUUAUUGACUGAAAAUUGUUCACUGCCUAUUAGACCAGGUAAUUUUUAUCUGGUGCCUCAAUUACUGUUCCGUAAGCAAUAAUAUAGUUGUAAGAGCUGCUGAUUCGAUCGCGUGACCUCUGAGAAGCUGGCUAGGACAGCUGACUUUACUAUGAUGGAUAACCAAGCUUGGUCUCCACGAGGUGCGAAACCUCCCUUUCCUGCAAGGGGAUCUCAUAAAAGAAACACUACGCUUGAUUCAUUUCACCAAAAUGUUUGACUUUUCAAGUGUCAGCAGUUAAGUAUAAAUUGUGAAGCCAGGUAUUCCUGAGAAGAGUGAUGACAAUGGCUUUCCCCCCUCUUUUUGGUCUCCUGGCAUUCUCUUCUAAAUGGUGUCAUGGUAAUUGGUGAAUGGGAGCCUGGGGUGCUCCCCGGCACAAAUACAGUGAAAAAUGGUGUCUGCACCCUUGUGAAUAUGACCUGCUUGGAGGUACAGAGCUGAACUUGGUAACCUCUGGCUGGCUCUUCUUAUUCCAAUUCAUUGUACUGGUUUAAGACCAACGCUCUGGGUUAGAUCCUGCUGAGUGGCCUUGGAAAUCGACUUUCUGAUCAGGAUGAAAGUCUCUGCUUAAAGAGAAGGCUGUGGACAGAGGUGGCUUUUUCAGGGCUAGGUUGUAAAGUCAGCACAUGAAACAAAAACUGCCUAGAGUCAAAAUUACCCUUGAAACUCUUUUAAGUUGCCAAGGCCUGGGCUCUUAGAAACACAAAAGCCAGAAAUUAACCACUUGUGUUUCUCUUUGUCUUUUGGCUGUGGCUUCCCUUUCCCUAGGGCAAAGGACAAUAAAUAUCUAGUUUGAAAGUAAAAGGACCACUGAGUGAACAAAGAGACUUACUGUCGUAUGUAUGUCCCUGUAUAUCUGUGUAUGUGUUUGGUGUGUGUGUAUACAAAUGUAUGUGUAUAUUUCUAUUUUUGGACAAGUACAUGUAGUUAAACUUGAGUAAGUGCUAUGUGCAGGCUGGAACUAUGCUGGACUUUAACGAUAUCUAAGGAAGGCGAAAAUAGAGUUGCUUUUGGUUUCUUAAAUUGUUGAACAUCAUCAGUUAUGAUAUGUACCUCCAGAAGAAUGGUAUCUGUAAAUGAGGAUUCCCAAGGCUUUACUGAUGGUCCUGA